UGCGCAGGCGGUGCGUUAAGUCAGUGGAGAAAUCUCUCGGCUCAACCGAGAAACUGCCAUUGAUACUGGCGCACUUGAGUACGGACGAGGUAGGCGGAAUUUAUGGUGUAGCGGUGAAAUGCAUAGACACCAUAAAGAACACCGAUAGCGCAGGCAGCUUACUAGACCGUAACUGACGCUCAUGCACGAAAGCGUGGGGAGCGAACA
rnacentral:rRNA from 1 species